rnacentral:rRNA from 1 species
UACGUAGGUGGCAAGCGUUGUCCGGAUUUACUGGGCGUAAAGCGCGCGCAGGCGGUCGUUCAAGUCGAGUGUGAAAGCCCCCGGCUCAACUGGGGAGGGUCACUCGAUACUGAUCGACUCGAAGGCAGGAGAGGGUAGUGGAAUUCCCGGUGUAGUGGUGAAAUGCGUAGAUAUCGGGAGGAACACCAGUGGCGAAGGCGACUACCUGGCCUGUUCUUGACGCUGAGGCGCGAAAGCUAGGGGAGCAAACGGG